GACGCGCGAUUUUACGUAGUUCGAGUUUCACGUGAUAUCGAAACGUUUGUACAAAUUAUUGCAGUAAAAUUUUACAAACCGGAAAUGAUAUACGUUGUUCCUGUUUGGAUUAUGUGACCGUCAUUUUUUUAUACUCUACUUUGUUUCAAAAAACGAAAUUACUCCUUUAAUCGUUGAAAUUUAUGUGAAUUAUAGUUCGUUAUCCUGUUCACUUAUUUGAUAAAGAAAAAAUACAUGAUGAUGAUUUAUAUAAAAUUUAAUUUUUUUUAAAUUUUCAAUAAAUUUUACUAUUAAAUUGUAUUAUUAAACAUUGCAUUUCUAAAUCUGCAAUGAUAAAUUUAACUUUAUUUUUUUAACUAAAAAUUUAAUAUUUAAUUCAAUUCAAUUAUGCAAUAAACAAAAGCAAAAAAAAAAAAUAAUGUAAUAGAAAUCAAACUUUUAAAAAUACAAGUAUUAAAAUACAUAAACAAAAAUUUUAUGCAUUAAGCAACGAUAACUACGAUUUCUAACCUCAUUCCAAAUUUCACGAUUGAUAAAUUGUAGUAGGUUAUUACAAAAUAUUUUUUAAUUCUUUUAUUAUUGUAAAAUAUUUUUAAAUAGGAAAUUAGGUUUAAAUAAAAAACUUACCUGA